GGUAAGGUGGCCGAGUAAGCGGCGGGUUGUAGCCCCGUAGACAGAGGUUCAAGUCCUCUCUUUACCA
rnacentral:tRNA from 1 species